ACCUCAAUGAUUAGAGCCAAUUAGAUUGGCAAUAUAUGCUAUACUGACAUUAUUUUGAUGAAAAGUUGAGUAUGAGAGCU